CUCCUCUUGGUUUAGUGUGCUGUUCAUUUUCAUUAUGGCAUCUGUGCGUGCGGUGUUGGAGGACAGAUGACACAAAAGGCGUCGCACUUUCACCUGCCACCGUCUUAUAUACAGUCUGCAACACGCAUUUUACUGAAGGCUGUUUCACCGAUGCAUUGGCGGAGGAAAUGGUAUCAGAAGUCUGAAGCUGACAAGCGAUGCCAUCAGCGAAAAGAAGGACCUGAAUCUGUGGAGGCCAGCCAUUAUUAAACAUCUGUACCCAACUGCAGCUUCUUCCACUCUAACUGAGAUGUGAUGGUGACCCACGUUCAGAACAUCCAUUAAAACAGGACGCUGGAACCAGUUACGACAUACCUUAUAUGCAUACACAUCAGCCCUCAAGGAGUCAACUGCACCUGCCCUGCUUAGGAGAUUGGGCCAAAAGAUCCUCAUUGAUGGAUGAGGCAGUCAGCCUUUGUCGGUUAACAGUUUAACACAGGACAUAAAUGUGAAACCAGCACAUAAGUCUUGUUUCGCGGUUUUCAACUUUAUUAAUGAAGGCAAAGCCAGAUCAGUCCUACAACUUAUAUUAUCCUCGGUCACAUUUGUCUAUUUGUAAGAUAUCUAAAAAAUAUCUCUAAAAGAGAGAUUUAAUCUGGUAAACAAAUAUGUCUCAGCCAACGCUUGAGGUGUGACUUCUCUCAUUGCAAGAAAGUAUUUUGUUCUGUCACUGUACUCAGUUAAAAGAAUGAUCUGUGUGUAUUUUCAUGUAGAGCCAGUAAAUGUUAUUUGAAAUAUUUUUUAUUAAUAAAAUCUUGACA